GCAACUCGAGCUUAAGGAAUCAAUCUAGAGAUGAAGCUGAUCAAAUACCUGUGGGAAUGCCUAAUAACUGUGCUAUGACAUUAUUUUGCAAGACAACUUGUCAAACUUACAACCUAGGUGGGAAAGCAUGCAGAUCUAGCAACCCAGUGCUGC